rnacentral:rRNA from 1 species
CGCUGGCGGCGUGCCUAAUACAUGCAAGUCGAGCGAGCGGAACCAACAGAUUUACUUCGGUAAUGACGUUGGGAAAGCGAGCGGCGGAUGGGUGAGUAACACGUGGGGAACCUGCCCCUAAGUCUGGGAUACCAUUUGGAAACAGGUGCUAAUACCGGAUAAUAAAGCAGAUCGCAUGAUCAGCUUUUGAAAGGCGGCGUAAGCUGUCGCUAAGGGAUGGCCCCGCGGUGCAUUAGCUAGUUGGUAAGGUAACGGCUUACCAAGGCGACGAUGCAUAGCCGAGUUGAGAGACUGAUCGGCCACAUUGGGACUGAGACACGGCCCAAACUCCUACGGGAGGCAGCAGUGGGGAAUAUUGCACAAUGGGCGCAAGCCUGAUGCAGCAACGCCGCGUGAGGGAAGACGGUUUUCGGAUUGUAAACCUCUGUCAUUAGUGACGAAGAAGUGACGGUAGCUAAUGAGGAAGCCACGGCUAACUACGUG